rnacentral:rRNA from 1 species
GGCAGCAGUGGGGAUUUCUGACGAGGGGCAGAAGGGGGGAUUCAUCAACAAUGGGUGAAGGAUGAAGGCAGUGGGGUGGUAAGAUGGUUGAAUGCGUAAGGAUAAUAAUAUUUUUUAUAGAAGGAAGUUAAGGGGGUUCCUUAAGAAGAAACCCCGGCUAAAUUCGUCCCCACCACCGGGGUUAUUAGGAGGGGGCCAGGGUUUAUCGGAAUUUAUGGGGGUAAAGGGUGCGCAGGGGGUUUUGAAAGACAGGGGUGAAAUCCCAGGGCUCAACCUGGGAUCAGCCCUGGAAACUGCAAGUCUAGAGUACGGGAGAGGGGAGUGGAAUUCCGAGUGUAGCGGUGAAAUGCGUAGAUAUUGGGAGGAACACCGGUGGCGAAGGCGGCUCUCUGGACUUUCACUGACGCUCAUGCACGAAAGCGUGGGGAGCAAACAGGAUUAGAUACCCUGGUAGUCCACGCCGUAAACGAUGU